AUUGAACGCUGGCGGCAUGCUUUGCACAUGCAAGUCGAACGGCAGCGCGGGCUUCGGCCUGGCGGCGAGUGGCGAACGGGUGAGUAAUGCAUCGGAACGUCCCCAGUAGUGGGGGAUAGCCCGGCGAAAGCCGGAUUAAUACCGCAUACGACCUGAGGGUGAAAGCGGGGGACCGAAAGGCCUCGCGCUAUUGGAGCGGCCGAUGUCGGAUUAGCUAGUUGGUGGGGUAAAGGCUUACCAAGGCGACGAUCCGUAGCUGGUCUGAGAGGACGACCAGCCACACUGGGACUGAGACACGGCCCAGACUCCUACGGGAGGCAGCAGUGGGGAAUUUUGGACAAUGGGGGCAACCCUGAUCCAGCCAUGCCGCGUGCGGGAAGAAGGCCUUCGGGUUGUAAACCGCUUUUGUUCGGGAAGAAAUCCUCUGGGCUAAUACCCCGGGGGGAUGACGGUACCGGAAGAAUAAGCACCGGCUAACUACGUG
rnacentral:rRNA from 1 species